CCUANGGGUGGCAGCAAUUAGGAAUCUUGCGCAAUGGGCGAAAGCCUGACGCAGCGACGUCGCGUGACCGAUGAAGUCUUUCGGGAUGUAAAGGUCUUUUUUGGGGGAAGAAGGAUGUGACGGUACCCCAAGAAUAAGCCCCGGCUAACUACGUGCCAGCAGCCGCGGUAAUACGUAGGGGGCGAGCGUUGUCCGAAUUCACUGGGCGUAAAGCGCGCGUAGGCGGGUUAUUAAGUUGGAGGUGAAAUCCCGGGGCUCAACCUCGGCGCUGCCUGCAAGACUGUUGGUCUUGAGGUAUGGAGGGGAAAGUGGAAUUCCUGGUGUAGAGGUGAAAUUCGUAGAUAUCAGGAGGAACACCGGUGGCGAAGGCGACUUUCUGGCCCUAUACUGACGCUGAGACGCGAGAGCGUGGGUAGCAAACAGGAUUAGAUACCCUGNUANUC
rnacentral:rRNA from 1 species